GUCUACAGCCAUACCACCCUGAACACGCCCGAUCUCGUCUGAUCUCGGAAGCUAAGCAGGGCCGGGCCUGGUUAGUACUUGGAUGGGAGAAAGAGGGUAAGGAAGAGA
ensembl:rRNA 5S_rRNA 5S ribosomal RNA